CCUACGGGAGGCAGCAGUAGGGAAUCUUCCACAAUGGGCGAAAGCCUGAUGGAGCAACGCCGCGUGGGUGAAGAAGGUCUUCGGAUCGUAAAACCCUGUUGUUAGAGAAGAAAGUGAGUGUGCGUAACUGUUCACGUUUCGAUGGUAUCUAACCAGAAACCCAAGGCUAACGACGUGACAGCAGCCGCGGUAAUACGUAGGUGGCAAGAGUUAUCCGGAUUUAUUGGGCGUAAAGGGAGCGCAGGCGGGCUUGUAAGUCUGAUGUGAAAGCCGUCGGCUUAACCGGAGUAGUGCAUUGGAAACUGGGCGACUUGAGUGCAGAAGAGGAGAGUGGAACUCCUAGUGUAGCGGUGAAAUGCGUAGAUAUUAGGAAGAACACCAGUGGCGAAGGCGGCUUACUGGUCUGUAACUGACGCUGAGGUUCGAAAGCGUGGGGAGCAAACAGGAUUAGAUACCCUGGUAGUC
rnacentral:rRNA from 1 species